GUCCACGCCCUAAACGAUGCGAACUGGACGUUGGGAGCAACUUGGCUCUCAGUGUCGAAGCUAACGCGUUAAGUUCGCCGCCUGGGGAGUACGGUCGCAAGACUGAAACUCAAAGGAAUUGACGGGGCCCGCACAAGCGGUGGAGUAUGUGGUUUAAUUCGAUGCAACGCGCAGAACCUUACCUGGUCUUGACAUGUCGCGAACUGCCCAGCGAUGGGCGGGUGCCUUCGUGAAUGCUAACACAGGUGCUGCAUGGCUGUCGU
rnacentral:rRNA from 1 species